UCUUCCCAAAACCCACACCCACACGCAAACCUCAAUUCUCUUUCUUCUUUUCUUUCCUUCUCUCCAUCUGUUACUAUUUUCCUUCUCUGGUCGUCUCUCUUCAUCUUCACCUCCCCCAACCCUAGCCGCCACCACAGUUCCUUCUCCCUUCAAUGCAACCCCUUCUCCAUUCUCUCAGAUUUAAAAAUUUUUUGUCUCUUCUUUAUGGCACUUCAGAUUCAGUUAUUUAGAUUUGUUCGCUCAUGGCUUCCAAUUUGCAAAAGGACAUUCCUUCUGGUGAAGCUGAUGUGUGAAUAUAAAGGUGUUCUACACAAAGUGCUCCCUAAAAUUCAACAGGUAUGCUUUCUUAAAAUUGCUUGCUAUUUGUGAAAGUAAUAUGUAUUUGGUGCUUUUAUUGCAGAUUGUUAAAAUCAUGCAUGAUUUUUUUGUCGUUUGUUCAUAAUGGGGGUCUAUUGAGGGCCUCAAAAAGUCUUUAUAAAUCCACAGGGAAUUAAUUGGAUUGUUGCUCAUAGUGUUAAACUUGUGAUAUAACUGGAAAAUGACUAUUUUUUUAUAACACCUCAUAUAAUUAUGCUAUGUUGGCUGGAUAUUCACAAAUAAGAUUUCAAUAAUGGUUAGGAAGAUACCUUGCUGCAGCUGUAGAGAAUGUUGUCUCCAUACUUGAUGUCGAUACAGAAGCAUGUCGAUAUUCACUAAGGGUAUGUGAAAAAAGAAAUUUAAGGUCUCUUUUUCCUACUCUUUCCAAGAGGAUGCUGAUGUUAUUGAUUGAGUAUA